rnacentral:rRNA from 1 species
AAGUUUGAUCCUGGCUCAGGAUGAACGCUAGCGGCAGGCUUAAUACAUGCAAGUCGUGGGGCAGCAGGUUUGUAGCAAUACAGAUGUUGGCGACCGGCAAACGGGUGCGGAACACGUACAGAACCUUCCUUUGAGCGGGGAAUAGCCCAGAGAAAUUUGGAUUAAUACCCCAUAGUAUAAUGAAGUGGCAUCACUUUAUUAUUAAAGAUUUAUCACUCGAAGAUGGCUGUGCGGCUGAUUAGGUAGUUGGCGGGGUAAAGGCCCACCAAGCCUGCGAUCAGUAACUGGUGUGAGAGCACGACCAGUCACACGGGCACUGAGACACGGGCCCGACUCCUACGGGAGGCAGCAGUAAGGAAUAUUGGUCAAUGGAGGCAACUCUGAACCAGCCAUGCCGCGUGGAGGAUGAAGGUCCUCUGGAUUGUAAACUUCUUUUAUAUGGGACGAAAAAGGCUUUUCUAAGUCGUCUGACGGUACCAUAUGAAUAAGCACCGGCUAACUCCGUG